GCCCCCGUUGUCUAAUGGUUAUGACGUCAGACUUCUAUGUUUGUGAAUCUGGAGGUUGCGGGUUCGAGUCCCGCCGGGGGUU